CAAGAUUAAAGAAUUUAAAACUGUGCUUUUUCGGCUCCAAAUUACACUCGUCAUCCCUUGAAUACCCUAGUGGGGAUUUUAGGUCAAAAUCUUUAUUCUUUUGGUUACCAGACAGUAUGGAAGUGCACAAUGCCAAACAAUGGAACGAGUCACUCGGGGACUGGAUGACGUAAUUCUUGGAUUAACCCAACGUGGUGCAAUAUGGCAAAUUGCUG